rnacentral:sRNA from 1 species
GCAGAAACAAAGGAGGAAAGGUUGUCGGCAUUUUUGACAGCAGCAAGAAACGGCAUUACGGAAAUUGUGUCUGAACUUCGAACUAAAAUAUCAAGUGUCGUAUAUGAAACUAGCCCUAAAAGUGAAAAUGUAUUGCUUGUGGCAGUGAAGAAUAAGCAAGUAAAUGUUGUUGAGAUGUUACGUAACAUUUUGAAAAAGGAAACUUUUGAUAGCUUAAUUUUAGAAAGGGAUAACAGAGAGAACACCGUGUUACACUUAGCAGCUGGUACAUCAAGCAACCAAAGAGCUGGUACUACCAUGCAAAUGAUAUGGGAUAUCAAGUGGUAUCAGUACAUCAGUGGUCUAGUGCCGAAAGAAUUCAUUUACAGACGCAACAAAGAUGAUAAAACUGCAUGGGAAAUCUAUGAGCUGGAACACAUUCAGAAAGUGAAAGAUUGCUCAGAGGCCCUAAAGGACUUAUCCAAUUCUGGCUCAGUUGUGGCAGCUCUCAUCGCCGGCAUCUCCUUCGCAACAUCGACCACCGUCCCCGGCAGCACCGACAACGGAAAACCUAUCUUAGGUGGCAAACCUGAGUUUGAUGUAUUUUCCAUUGCUUCCCUUAUAGGACUUGGCUUCUCCAUCACCGCACUGGUAAUGUUCCUCGCCAUACUCACUUCUCCAAAACAGGUUCAACAUUUCCACCUCAGCUUGCCCUUGAAGCUUAUUUUUGGCUUAGGUUCUCUUUUUGCAUCCGUUGCUUCAAUGCUCGUUUCCUUUUGGGCUGCACAUUUCUUUGUGCUCAAUGAAAAGUACAAUAUGAUACUCCUCCCUGUUUAUGUUGCCACUUGGUUUCCGAUCACUAUCUAUGCACUGAUGCAAUUUCCAUUUUAUGUUGA